rnacentral:rRNA from 1 species
UAACGCGUGGGAAUCUGCCUAUCAGUGGGGAAUAACGACGGGAAACUGUCGCUAAUACCGCAUACGCCCUUAGGGGGAAAGAUUUAUCGCUGAUAGAUGAGCCCGCGUACGAUUAGCUAGUUGGUGAGGUAAUGGCUCACCAAGGCUACGAUCGUUAGCUGGUCUGAGAGGAUGAUCAGCCCCACUGGGACUGAGACACGGCCCAGACUCCUCCGGGAGGCAGCAGUGGGGAUUAGUGGACAAUGGGCGAAAGCCUGAUCCAGCAAUGCCGCUUGAGUGAUGAAGGCCUUAGGGUUGU